GAGUUUGUCCUGGCUCAGGAUGAACGCUGGCGGUAUGCUUAACACAUGCAAGUCGAACGAAGUGCUUCGGCACUUAGUGGCGGACGGGUGAGUAACGCGUGAGAAUCUGGUCUGGGGUUCGGGACAACCACGGGAAACUGUGGCUAAUACCGGAUGUGCCUGCGGGUGAAAGAUUAAUCGCCCUAGAAUGAGCUCGCGUCUGAUUAGCUAGUUGGUAGGGUAAGAGCCUACCAAGGCGACGAUCAGUAGCUGGUCUGAGAGGACGAUCAGCCACACUGGGACUGAGACACGGCCCAGACUCCUACGGGAGGCAGCAGUGGGGAAUUUUCCGCAAUGGGCGAAAGCCUGACGGAGCAAUACCGCGUGAGGGAGGAAGGCUCUUGGGUUGUAAACCUCUUUUCUCAAGGAAGAACACAAUGACGGUACUUGAGGAAUCAGCAUCGGCUAACUCCGUGCCAGCAGCCGCGGUAAUACGGAGGAUGCAAGCGUUAUCCGGAAUAAUUGGGCGUAAAGCGUUCGCAGGUGGCGAAUCAAGUCUGCUGUCAAAGGUCAGGGCUCAACCCUGAACAGGCGGUGGAAACUGAUAAGCUAGAGUGCGGUAGGGGUAGAGGGAAUUCCCGGUGUAGCGGUGAAAUGCGUAGAGAUCGGGAAGAACACCAGUGGCGAAAGCGCUCUACUAGGCCUGCACUGACACUCAGGGACGAAAGCUAGG
rnacentral:rRNA from 1 species